UCUGGCUCCACUGGUCUGGUGCAGAACAGGCUCUCUGGAGGCGGUUUGUAACUGUGGUCACAAAAAUCAAUGUUCUGGGAGAACUGGAAGCAGCUCCAUUUUUUGGGGGUCCUUUACACAGAUCAAGAUCUGGGUCCCAGGGUCCACCUUCAUGUUCCACCAAUGAGUUUGUUCACAGGGGGUGGAGUGUGUAGGGGAUGUCCUUAUAUGUGUGUAAGGAAUGCAUUGUGUGAAAUUGUGUUUGUAUGUGUAAGGACUGCAAGGUGUGUUUCUGUGUAUGUAUGGGAUGCAUUGAAUGUGUGUAAGGGGUGCAUUGAGUGUGUGUAAUGAAUGCAUUGUGUGUUUCUGUGUGUGUAAG